CUCUGGAAGACAAGACCUACAGAAUCAAAAGGAUUUGUUUGCGGUCAUAGCUGGCAAGUGUUGGGGGUCUGAUCCCAUAGCCUGUGGGCCAACGAUGCACCGUUCUGCCUUUCUCCAGGGAUCCAGACAAGUCAUUUCCCCUCCUUGAGCUUCAGCUGCCUCAUCGACACUGAGUGCAACACUAGGCUUCAGCAUGUGACAAAAGCAGACUGUAAAGAUCAUCAUCUGAGACAAAACUGGAAAUUACGGAGAGAAGGGCCGCCCGGACCAGGAGCUGAGGAUCAAUUUGCGGUGCUCAAGUGCUCCCCCAUUUCCGGAGGGGCAGUGUCUCUGAAUAUUUAACAAGGCAGGAAAAAAAUGAAAAUGUAGCCUGGAGUCAAAAGGGCAUCCAGGAAAGAUUGGAGAGAGCGGGAAGUGGAUAUGACAAAAGGAAAAUGUAGAUCGGAGAGUCUGCGGUCACUCUGACGUGGGAGGGCCUGUGCGAAGCUUCUGUGACUCGUCCACACCUCCAGUUUAACCAGCCAGCCCCCAACGCGGCUGCCCCUGUACACCCUGCAUCCUGCCAUCAUGUGACACCCCCAGAUCUCCCAACAUGCUGCAGGCUUUGCUCACGCUGCUCUCUCUUCCUGCGGCUCUUUCUGGCACCCUUGUCCACCAAAUUAGAUUGAAACGUUUUUUGAGAUGUCGCUUCUGUACUGUCUUCUCUGAGUCCUCAGCAGAGAAAAUUCAUGACUUCAUCUCCGCUCCAUUACACACUGAAUAGACACCCAGCGUGUUCCCUAGCCCUGUGUUGUGUAAUCUGACCUGUCUGCUGUGAGUCACCUAAGAGCAGGACCCUUGUACUCUGUCAUCUUUGUUUCUCAGAUGCCUUACAUGCUUCUGGCAUGAACUGGAUGCUCUGUCAAUAUUGGCUGAAUAAAUUAAAAUUA